GACGAACGCUGGCGGCGUGCUUAACACAUGCAAGUCGAGCGGAGCGGCGAACGGGUGAGUAACGCGUGAGUAACUGCCCCCCUCUCUGGGAUAACAGUUGGAAACGGCUGCUAAUACCGGAUAGUGGGGGAUGACUCGCGUCCUAUCAGCUGGUUGGUGGGGUAGUGGCCUAACAAGGCGACGACGGGUAGCCGGCCUGAGAGGGCGACCGGCCAUAUUGGGCUUGAAUACGGCCCUAACUCUGACGGGAGGCAGCAGUGGGGAAUAUUGCACAAUGGGGGAAACCCUGAUGCAGCAACGCGCGUGCGGGGUGUCGGCCUUCGGGUUGUCAACCGCUUUCAGCCCUGACGCGGUAGUGGCAGAAGAAGCACCGGCUAACUACGUGCCAGCAGCCGCGGUAAUAC
rnacentral:rRNA from 1 species